CCCCUCCCAGGGUCGCACCUGGAGAGUUUCCAGUACUCUCCGAGUCACAGCUACAGCUAUAGGAGGGAGAGUCAAGCAGAGACCUAAUCAUUCCAUUCCUAGCUUGGGCAGUGGCUAGUGAGUGGAAGGCAGUCUGCUACAAGU